UACGUAGGGUGCGAGCGUUAAUCGGAAUUACUGGGCGUAAAGCGUGCGCAGGCGGUCGUGCAAGACAGAUGUGAAAUCCCUGGGCUCAACCCAGGAACUGCGUCCGAUACUGGUUGGCUUGAAUCCGGGAGAGGGAUGUGGAAUUCCAGGUGUAGCGGUGAAAUGCGUAGAUAUCUGGAGGAACACCGGUGGCGAAGGCGACAUCCUGGACCGGUAUUGACGCUGAGGCGCGAAAGCCAGGGGAGCAAACGGG
rnacentral:rRNA from 1 species